AUUUUACAAGCAAACAUGAUGUAAAACAUAAAUGCAUAGUCACCUCAUAAUGAAUAAGAUUGAGGAUGUGGUCAGGACGAAUAUCACAGAUUCCUUUAUGUAACCAGUAUAUAUGUGCGCCUCUAUCUGCUUUGUAUUAAUGGUUAAGGUAGGUGCAAUUGUACACAAACAAUAAAGAUCUAAAAGCUCCACAGAAAGGAAUACACCACUUGAAGCCCAUAAUCAAGGAUAUAUAAAGGCCAGCCAAUCUAACUACACAACCAUCAAAGUCCAGCGCUACUUUCUCUGCCUUGAGAAGUACAUCAGUUCUAGGACUCCUCCCUAUUGGAACUAUGGGACCAUCCUGUACAUUGACAUUGAAAAGGUGUUUAGCUAAUAAAAAG
rnacentral:lncRNA from 1 species